GUUAAAAAGCUCGUAGUUGGAUUUCUGCGGGGGCGGGGCGGCCGGAUGCUUAUAGCAUCUCGAGCUAGCACUUCCCCCGCAUCCUGCCGCGAACCGUGCUACCAUUAGUUUGGUGGCGCUGGGGAUCGGCUCGUUUACUUUGAGAAAAAUAGAGUGUUCAAAGCAGGCCACACGCCUUGAAUAAGUUAGCAUGGAAUAAUGAUAAAGGACUUCGGUUCUAUUUUGUUGGUGUUCGGGACUGAAGUAAUGAUUGAUAGGGACAGUUGGGGCGGUCAGUAUUCCAAAGCGAGAGGUGAAAUUCUUAGACCUUCGGAAGACUAACAGCUGCGAAAGCGUUCCGCAAGGAUGUUCCCUUUGAUCAAGAACGAAAGUUGGGGGAUCGAAGACGAUCAGAUACCGUCGUAGUCUCAACUAUAAACUAUACCAGCUAGGGAUCGGCCGACGUUUACUUAUAUCGACUCGGUCGGCACCUUAUGAGAAAUCAAAGCAUCUGGGUUCCGGGGGGAGUAUGGUCGCAAGGCUGAAACUUA
rnacentral:rRNA from 1 species